rfam:Seinonella peptonophila strain DSM 44666 genome assembly, contig: Ga0131105_102
AUAAAAAAGAGCUCGCGUUAUUACGCGAGCCAAAUCUGUAUCUUCCGAACGAUCAAUGAUGAAAGAUACGAAAUGGGAGAGGAGAAACCGGAGGAAGAACUUAUUGGGGAAAUGUAAGUCUUCUCCGCGU